GGAACGGUGGCCUAAUAGUUAGAGCAUCCGCAUUGGAUGCUGGAUGUCGCGGGUUUGAACCCCGGCCGCUUCA